rnacentral:rRNA from 1 species
CCGAGUUAUCCAACUCCCAACCCCUGUGAAUUAUACCUUUAAUUGUUGCUUCGGCGGGACUUCGCGCCCGCCGGGGACCCAAACCUUCUGAAUUUUUUAAUAAGUAUCUUCUGAGUGGUUAAAAAAAAUGAAUCAAAACUUUCAACAACGGAUCUCUUGGUUCUGGCAUCGAUGAAGAACGCAGCGAAAUGCGAUAAGUAAUGUGAAUUGCAGAAUUCAGUGAAUCAUCGAAUCUUUGAACGCACAUUGCGCCCGUCAGUAUUCUGGCGGGCAUGCCUGUUCGAGCGUCAUUACGCCCCUCAAGUCCCCUGUGGACUUGGUGUUGGGGAUCGGCGAGGCUGGUUUUCCAGCACAGCCGUCCCUUAAAUUGAUUGGCGGUCUCGCCGUGGCCCUCCUCUGCGCAGUAGUAAAACACUCGCAACAGGAGCCCGGCGCGGUCCACUGCCGUAAAACCCCCCAACUUUUUAUAG